CUCAUUGAUUCCUCUUUCCGCCUGCCUUUCGUGUGGGCUCUCUGUUUUCUCUGAGCCGUUUCCUUGUAUUUCUCACUCGUUCUUGCUCUUUUUGCUCUGCCGUUUCCCCUUUUGCGCCUCACCUCGUCUUCUCCACCAGCCAGGAUAAGACACAGUGUCCAGAGUCUAACAACUGGAUUCAAGCCCUCAAGAGGUCAAAGCCUCGUCACCCUGUUAGCACUGUGGGAAAAAAAAAAAAAAAAAAAAAACGUCAAGGAGAAACUAGGAAGUUUCCAGGACAUGCAGCGCUCCUGUGUCCCAGAAGAGAUCUUGGAGGAGUGAGCCAGCUUCUCAAGGGACUACUGACACCAUGAUGCAGGGGCCAUGUGCACCGGCUGGCACAUGGUAUUGGGAGUAUGCAGAGACACAGGGCUGGCCUGGAGCCAGGUACAGAGCACAACACUACUGGGUCAGGCCUGAGCCCCAUCAGCUUUGAAAUCUUCUACUCUGCAAAAUGAGACAGGCUUCUAUAACAGUCAGCAUACUGUUUACUUAACAUGCAGCUGCACACAUUUUAAUAUGUGAGCUGUCCAGGGGAAUCAGGACUGCCAGACACAUACAAAGAAGCUAGGAAGGGGUGUGCUUUUGACGCCCUGUCUUGAAAUUAUAAAAAAAACUGGGGGUUGCACGACUUCAGAUUUUUUUAAGUUGACAUUCAUGUGGUAAUAGUCAAGUCGAUGUCAACUAGUCGCUGAUGAAAUUAUCAAUAAAACCAUGGGAGAAGGGAAUGCUUUGCAACCAACAAAAAUAUUUAUGUGCAAAACCUAAUGUAUAUUCUGCUGAAAGCAGACAGUUAACAUGUAAAAAAACAGCAGGUUGCAACAGCUGCAAUAAAGUAUUCAACAACAACACCUGUUCCACAACUCCCAAAUAAGUGAGUGCAAAGAAAAAAAGUCACACUUGGGAAAUAAAAAAAACUCAGGUAACCAGAGCGUGUUUGCCUACAUACUGUCAUAGUCCUGCUCAGUCACAGUUUUAAAUUGUCUAUCCUGAUAAGUGAUUAUUUGACAUCUGACGAAGCCUCAUCACACAGCUGUAAAGUUGACUAGUGGACUAGUCAACAAGUCUGUGCAACGCCACAAAUAUGUUUUCUUAAUAAUUGGGAUGAGUGAUUACCACACUAGUUUUAAAAUAUUACCAAUUUAACAUGAUAUGUCAAUACAUUGCUUCUGACAAGUGAAACUGGUCAUUCAAUGCAACACAACACAUAUCUAAAAUCUUUCAAAGCUAAACAAAUCUUGAACAUUUUAUGUUUUGAUACAUUUGAAAUGUUCCAUUUCUUGAUUUUAUGAUAAGGGCACAACAUCCACAAAGGAACGCAUGUUUUUUUGUAUAUUUUUGUGUGUGUAAUGUAUCAUAUUGUUUCAUUCCCUCUCAGCCCAAGUAAAUCUCACUGGUGUGAAUUAUGUGGGUGAGUUGUGUAGGCCACAACACAAUAUGGCUAUAAAUUUCAUGCUGCACAGAUAACCUUAAUAAAGUUUUAAGAAACUAA